GAUGAACGCUGGCGGCGUUCCUAAUACAUGCAAGUCGAGCGAACAGACGAGGAGCUUGCUCCUCUGACGUUAGCGGCGGACGGGUGAGUAACACGUGGAUAACCUACCUAUAAGACUGGGAUAACUUCGGGAAACCGGAGCUAAUACCGGAUAAUAUAUUGAACCGCAUGGUUCAAUAGUGAAAGACGGUUUUGCUGUCACUUAUAGAUGGAUCCGCGCCGCAUUAGCUAGUUGGUAAGGUAACGGCUUACCAAGGCAACGAUGCGUAGCCGACCUGAGAGGGUGAUCAGCCACACUGGAACUGAGACACGGUCCAGACUCCUACGGGAGGCAGCAGUAGGGAAUCUUCCGCAAUGGGCGAAAGCCUGACGGAGCAACGCCGCGUGAGUGAUGAAGGUCUUCGGAUCGUAAAACUCUGUUAUUAGGGAAGAACAAAUGUGUAAGUAACUAUGCACGUCUUGACGGUACCUAAUCAGAAAGCCACGGCUAACUACGUG
rnacentral:rRNA from 1 species